rnacentral:lncRNA from 9 species
AUAUUCUCUUAUACUUGAGAUCUGGAGCCCAAACCCCCGAACCACACACAUGCAGGGAGCAGUCUCCUCCCUUUCAGUGGAGCGGGGGGAAACAUGCUGUUUAUCCUAAGGACGGUGACGGUCAAGCACUGAAAGUAGGUUUAGCGUCUGUACCUCAGUAGUCACGGCACUAAGUGUGACAGUGACACCCUGUGUCCCUCACACGUGAGAUCAUUGAGUACAGGUAGAAAUUGCCUGUAUUCUUCCCGAAUCCCAGGCUUUGUCUGAUGUCCAGUCUUUUCAAGAGAGAGAUCAUUAGAGUUCCCUGGUGGCUCGGCAAGUUAAGGACCCAGCAUUGUCACUGGUGUGGGUUGGGUCACUGCUGUGGCAUGGGUUUAGUCCCUGGCAUGGAAACUUCCACAUGCUAUGGGUAUGGCCAAAAAAAACCAAAACCAAAACAAAACAAAACAAAAAAAAAACACCACACACACACAAAAACAAACAAACAAAAGAAUGAUGAUCACUUUUACAGGCAAAUAACAGCUGUGCAUUAUGUGUUUAUUCUACUCUCAACAUCUGUAUCUGGACUCACUGACACUUUGCAGCGGACUGAGGGCUGCAAUUAGUGAAAAGCUGCAGCAGAAACUGGAUAUUCCAGAGGCAGGCUGCAGAGAUUGCAUUUUGCUACAGGGAAUUUAUUAGGAAGCAACACUUGUGGAAAGAGAAAGAAGAAGCAGGAUUGGGUGUAAGGAAAAGUCAAACUGAUUCUAAGUCUCAACCAUCCUUUUUAGGAAGCUGUGAAUCCUUUAUAACAAUCCUGCUGGGCUGAAUAACUGGACUUUUAUCCUCUAAUUGAAGCAGUCACUAAAUUGAGGCCACCCUGGGAAGGGUGUGUCUUGGAUCAGGAGGCCUUCUAGUGCGGAGGCCAACCACAGAGCCCGUGGCAGCCUGGACGAUGCAGUCUUGCCUGAGGGAAGGUGCGGUGGCUCCUCCUGGUGUUCACUGCAGUUCACCCCGGGGUCAGCCGCCCUCAAGCUUCGUAUCCUUUCGGGGCGAUGCUCCUCUGGGAUUCCGGGGGCUGGUCUUCCCGGGGGGAGCUUAGAGGAUUAGUGGUGCGGAUAACAGCCCUGCACUGCAGGACCGCAAAGGAUGCCCGUCUGCUCCUCUUCCUGAUGAGCCGGGUGAACUUGCUGUACUGAGAUGGUGCCUGCGUGGGGGACGUGUAAUGCUCCGGGAGCAGCCGCAGCUUAGAGCUCAGAAGGACUCCCUCUGUCACCUGGUAAAAUGCGGCGUCUUAGGAACCAGGACCGUCACCUGCAGGACUUGGACCCUGUGGGAGCGGAAAGUACAGGGAACUCCUCGGAGACGUUGCGGGAAAGAGGGUAGAGCCUGCUUUUGACCCCUUGGUUCUAAGACCAGUGAUUAUCUCCUGAUGGAGACAUCGUGUCAUAUAAACCUCCUUGACUUGAUGUCUAUACUUUUUAUCCCGUAGAGUGACACUUUAUCCCAUAAGCUGUCAUCUUCUGGUGGCACUCCAGUAGCAACUUUACCAGGCCAUUCCAGUCUCUGUCAGGUGGGAAGCUCCCUGCUGUCGUGUAUCCACUGUUAGAUCCCGUGUGCCCAGGCCGCUUCCACACCUUAUCUGCUGUCAAACGAGUCCUUUGGUCCGACGCAUCCUGAGGCUCCCGUGGGGAGGAGGAGAUCCUUGGUUGGCGCGGGACACCGCUGCCCUUGAGGGCGGGGAAGCAGCCUGUUCCCAGAGUGUGUGUCCUCUCAGCUAGAGCGCGUCUUCGGCCCUUCCAGGGUGAACCUGUCCCCAGCUUCUCUAGCAGCCUAGGCUCUGCCCAGGGCUCUCUAAUAGCCUAGGCUCUGCCGAGUCCCAUGGUCCAGAUGGCAGGGGUGAGUCCCUCCCAGCUCGGAGCCGCUGCAGGAGUCUGCACCGUCUCCCAAGAUCCUUGCCAGGCUGGUAAGUCCCAUCUCUGGAAAGUACUUCUAAAUUAAUAAAGGCUUCCAGAUCUAAUCAUAUCUUACGUUUUCACACUCCGUUUGGCUUCCUUGAUGAAGCACCUGUGGAAGCAGCCCCAUGUGUAUGCUCACAACUCCAAGCAGUGCAUCUUGGCUGGAUCAUUAUUCCUUUGGGACAUUGUCCCUUCUUCCUGUAUCAAGGAUACCAAGUUCCCAGAUGAGUCAUGCUGGGCCUUACCCCCAGUUAUUGCAUAAUGGCCAGAAGAGUAGAGAUGGCAGACCCUAACCAGGGCAUGUGUUCUCUUACAGAGGAGAGUGCUGACAGUGAAAAGGAGGGCAGACCCCUUCUGUAAGCAUAGAGACGUCAGAGGAGCCUGGUGGGUCCAUCUUUUUUCCCCUGACCUUGGCCUAACAGACUCGUCCUGGCUAGGGAUAUGACCUUCUCUGGCAUUUGGUCACCCUGACUGUUCAAUGCUGGGCUUUUGCUCAGUUUCGCUGUCCUUCCACUGGGGGAGUUUAGAGCUAAAAUGACCCUUUGGGGAGCCCCAGGACUUCCCGUGUGGCUCACAACCCUUUGGGGAGCCCUGGAGCAUAGCUGGCUGGCACAUUAGAAUAGUGCCAUCCUGGGCAAUAACGGCCAGCUUGUUAUACCCUCCCUGUAAUCAGUCUUUGAAUGUAAGCCUCUUGGGGUCACAAGGGAAAAAACAGCAUCAGACAAGGCAUCAUCCUGGCUUCACAGAGGUUGGAGGGAGACGAGUAAACCUAGCAUCACAUCUUCUUGCUGGUGAAGGAUGAGGCGCAGUGAGCUGAAGUCCUUACUCCAAGUCACGCCAUCAAAGCACAUGUCGUAGCUUUUACAGAUUUUGUUUGAAAACAGAAGUGGAGUGAUCCGAAGAUUCGCUCUUGUCGCGUCAUAAAAUUACCCUCAAGUGAAAAGGUCUGAAGAGGCGUGGAUGAUAGACAGACAGCAUCCUCCCGUUCACAGCACACUGGCUGUUUAGACAGCUCCCUAAGUGGUCUUUUUCCCAGCCUGUGCUCGGGUAUUGGUCUCGGCCUGUUCCUUUUCUCAGUGUGUGUGCGCUCUUGGUGACUCCUGUACCAUCUAUUUGCUGAUGAUUCACAGGUAUUUUUUUUUAACUCUCUAGAUCCGCUUACACAAUUGUUUAGUGAAUAUUCCUACCAAAAUGUCUCGUAGGUAUCUCAUACUGAUCAGAUCUAAAAAGGAAUUCCUCUUUCUCACCAAGAUACGUUAUACACAGUUUCUUUCCACUCUUCUGCAUCUUCCCCUUAUCCUUCUAGACUUAUAGCAUCUUGCCAUCGUCUUCUUGGACAAAUGUACAGGAACCGGAGGUAGAGAAGUGGACAGCAGUCACCCUGGGCUUGAAGUUGCUUUCUCAUGCCUGUUUAUCCUGCCCACCAAGGUCGUACUAGAUUGAACCACGAAAAAUUGCCCUUUUUAACGUAAAAAUUAGUCAGAUAUUAGCAAUUACGUAUAGUAUGACCAAUUACUGCUUUUGUUGUGGUAAGACGACUUCCAAAAUUAUCUUAUUCUUAAAUAGAGAGUGAACACCCUAACGCUAAUGCAAAUGUUAAAGUUAUAAUAGGUUUCCAAGAUAAAACAGAACAAUCUGAGGGAAUUAGCUUUGUGUAUCAUGUAGUCAGGUUAAUUUGAGGAGUCUGGGAGUCUGAGAGUCUUUAUCCUGUAAGUCAUUUCUACGUUGAAAAGAAAAUUUGGAGCAAUACAGAGAAGUUCUAACCACGGUCAAGGCACAAUGAUUUUUUUAAAGAUAAUUGUCAAGUCUAAGAACUUCGCAUAAAAAAUUUUUUCAACAUUUUAGCUUCAAGUAGGAAAUAUUCUAACUUUAUAUCAAUCUUUAGUGAAUAAAUAGAUUGUGGUUAAUUUUAAAAAUAGAACCUGAGUGUUUCAGAGUUUUUACUGACUUUGGGGGAAAAAUAAUAGUAUUUUUUUCAAGUCUGACAAGUGAUUUAUUACACAUGAGGCUUUUUGGCCUUCCAGAUUUCCACUUUAGCUGACAAAAUCUUUAAAUAGACUAUUACAUACCCCAUUUGCGAAAAGUGAAAUGUUUUCAAUUAUUGUUGAGUUCUCUCGCUCUGGGGACUUGGCAUGGCGUGUUCUAGCUAAAAUCUUUGGAAUUCUCUUCAGUGUGUGUUAGAUGUGAAAUUGGUUUUUCGAAACAUUUUUAAAUGGAGAUCUUAGUCCAAAAGGUAUAAAUUGCUGAUAAUUCUUGUCAGUGAAAACUGAGGCUUCCAUGGCUAAUUUGUAUUUCCCUUAAAUACUCCACAGAAAUUCUUUGGGUUUUGUGGCCGUACAGUGUCUGUCCCAGAUACUCAGCUCUGACUGCACGGGUGAAAGCAGCCAGAGAUGGCACGUAGACAAAUGGGCACAGCUGUGUCCAGUGAAACUUUAUUUACAAAAUCAGGAAGCCAGCCCUUGGGGUCAUGUUUGCUGACUUCUGCUUCGUCUGCUAUUCUGUAGUAAUUUAUCUUAUGGCAAUUUUUUUGUCUAUAUUUUGGUUAUCAGUUGACUAGUAUAGUAUCUCAUACAUGACAUAUAAUCAAUAACUAAAGAAAGAAGGAUGAAAUCUUAUGCAUUUCUCUUUGGGAAAAUGUGCGUCGCCUUGAUACCAUUCAGAAUGUCUGUGCAGAAGUGUGUGACCUGAAAAUAGGUGUGAGGAGGGAGUCCCUGUUGUGCUCAGUGCGUUACGGACCCGACCAGGAUCCACGAGGGUGCGGGUUCGAUCCCGGCCUCACUCAGUGGGUUACGGACCCGACCAGGAUCCACGAGGACUCGGGUUCGAUCCUGGCCUCGCUCAGUGCGUUACGGACCCGGCCAGGAUCCACGAGGACUCGGGUUCGAUCCCGGCCUCGCUCAGUGGGUUACGGACCCGGCCAGGAUCCACGAGGACUCGGGUUCGAUCCCGGCCUCGCUCAGUGGGUUACGGACCCGACCAGGAUCCACGAGGACUCGGGUUCGAUCCCGGCCUCGCUCAUGGGUUACGGACCCGGCCAGGAUCCACGAGGACUCGGGUUCGAUCCCGGCCUCGCUCAGUGGGUUACGGACCCGGCCAGGAUCCACGAGGACUCGGGUUCGAUCCCGGCCUCGCUCAGUGGGUUACGGACCCGACCAGGAUCCACGAGGACUCGGGUUCGAUCCUGGCCUCGCUCAGUGGGUUACGGACCCGGCCAGGAUCCACGAGGACUCGGGUUCGAUCCUGGCCUCGCUCAGUGGGUCGGGGAUCUGGUGUUGCUGUGAGCUGUGGUGUAGGUCGCACACGUGGCUCAGAUCUAGCAUUGCUGUGGCUCUGAUUCAGCCCCCAGCCCAGGAACCUCCAUAUGCCAUGGGUGUGGCCCU